ensembl:lncRNA
AUCACCGAGGAGUCAGACGCCGUCCUGGUGGACAAGAGCGACAGCGACUGAGCAGGACUCUCUCGGGGCUCUGCCCUGGAGGCCGGUGCCUGACCCCGCCGCUCCCUGACCCCCACCCCUGCCCACCUCCUUUCUCUUCUCAAACUUUCUAUUUCGCAUUCUCCUCAGCUCCAUGCUGGUUGAGCUUUUUUUCUAAACUGAAAACACACCCUGGAAACGCGCACCCCUUCAGAGCACAAGCCUUAGGCCGAGGGGAGGUGGUCUCCCACCAUGGACAGCCUCAAUUUGGACACACUCUGGGUAGGAAGUAGGAAGAAUGGCCCAUGCCCUGGUUGUCCUGGUCUAGGAAUCUUUUUCUUAGCUCUCCAGUUGGGCCCCUACAGGGAAUCUGCCUUCCACUCGGCCUCUCCACCACAGCUUCAUACUCAGCGGCACCACUCCCGCUGUCUGAGCUCUUUUACCUUACCCCCAUCCCAGGAGACUCUAAAGCCAAAAUUUCUGCAAGAGGAAAGAGGGAAUCCUAAAGACAACCCUUGCAGGGGCAGCCUUUUAGUGCCAGCUUGCUAUCCCAGCUACCUGGGAGGCUGAGAUGGGAGAAUUGAAAAUUCAAGGCCUGUCUGGACUAUAGAGUGAGUUCAAAGCCAGCCCGAGUAAUUCAGUGAGACCCUGUUUCAAAAUAAGGAGAGAUGGCUGGGGUGUAUAAGUAAUAGAGCCCAUGUUGAGAAAGUGGUGGCGUCACUAAGAAAGAAUUAUGCGUAGGGAGACCUUUGCUCUUAUGGGAGGUAGCCCACUGGAAGACCUGAGGGCCUUUGGGGGAACCUAAGACAAUAGGGUGGGGGUGGAGGCAGAGUGUGCCUUGACCCUGGAUAAAGGUUCCACCCAAGUAAGCAGGAGGCAAGCAGAGCUGGGGAAAGGAUGGUAGGUGUGGGGGAGAGGGAAGGGCACAUUUACAAGUCUACAAAAUCUGCACGCAGGAGCACAUGAGUAUGGCUUUGGGAAGAAAGGGAGAAACAGAGGAGGAAGUUGAAAUGGGAUUUAAAAAAAAUAAGACAUGCCCUCAUUAGCAGCAAAAACUGAAGCAAGAAUCCCACUCUGGUAGGGUCUCGAGGCGCAGGACGGUUUCUUCUAGAAAGUGUAUUCCAAAGAGAGGAAGCCGGACUGAAUCCUCUCUUCCAGGGUCUGCCAGAAGGGAAGCCUAGUUUUCCAAGCCCAGAAAAUUGGGAUUCCAGCAGGGGGCAGCAGCAAGCUGUGGAGAACUAGAAGUUCCGACGGGAGCAGAAAUUCCUAGUGCAGCUGGAGAAGCAGGGGCUUGCUGGCUUGUCCACUCCAGCUCCCUCCGAGCAGCUUUUAGCGUGGAUCUUUCCCUAGUGUAAAGUUGCAGAGCUUGCCAAGGCCUUUCUAAGUUACUUGCCUUUGGGGACACCUUACCUGAAAGUUUGGGGGCAGGGUGCUGCUUCUUGUUGGAGGCUUCAUUUCUAUAGUCAUUGGCCAGGUUUUCUCCUGAAGACACAGUGGUCCCCUCUUCCCCUCCCCAGGAAAGACUAUUCAGGAGCAAAGACAACACCUCCCCCAAAUGAUGGCUAGAGGUUGCUUCCUUCUCCCCAACUACUUAUCUUCCCUACUUUGCUUUUUAGAAUUGCAGUUAAUUGAUAUUUGGCGGGUGUGUGUUGCGGGGCAGGGGAUGGAAACCACAAAUCUUUUAUACAACACGAAGCUUUGCUUUUUUUUAAUUUUUAAUUUUCUUUUUUUUUUCUUGGUUCCCCUCCCUCCUCCAAAUGAUUGAAGACACAUAAGCAGAGGGGGAGGAGGUAGGAUGAGGUCCCUUGGUGCUGGUGGGCUGAAGGGGCCUAAGUUGUGGGCAGAUGCAGUUUCCUGUGGGCUCUAGGGGAGCCCCUCAUGUUGCUGUGUUCUGGUGAGCAGCCGGACCAAUAAACCUGCUUUUCUAAAAGGAUUUGUGUGGGGUUAUAUUAUCCAAAGCAGUUACUGAGGGUGUUGAAGGACGAAGGGAUACCAUGAAUGAAAAGGGGAAAAGUACAGAGGGAGGGA